rnacentral:rRNA from 1 species
CAGUCGCCACGGGAAUACGUAGGGUGCGAGCGUUAAUCGGAAUUACUGGGCUUAAAGCGCGUGUAGGCGGGAGGGCACGUCCGUCGCUGAAAUCCCCCGGCUCAACCGGGGAACGGGCGCGGAUACGACUCUUCUGGAGGAACGUAGGGGGACCUGGAACUUCCGGUGGAGCGGUGAAAUGCGUUGAGAUCGGAAGGAACGCCCGUGGCGAAAGCGAGGUCCUGGACGUUUACUGACGCUGAGACGCGAAAGCCAGGGGAGCGAACGGGAUUAGAUACCCCUGUAGUCCCUGUCUCUUAUA